CUCUGGAAACUGGUAAUUAUGGACUUGUUUUGUCGAUUGUUGAUGAAACUAGUGGCUGGUCCCUUUGAUGAGCAGGGGAUCAGCCAUCUGCGAAUGGACAUAGCCCAACAGCUCAUCAAGGAAACGGAUGAUUUGUCGGAGCUAUGUCGGGUGUGUGGCGAACAUGACACCCAUGAUGAAUGGACGGAGUGCACGCUUUGUAAAAGCUGGUAUCACAGCCUUUGUGUGGGGG